UACGUAGGGUGCAAGCGUUGUCCGGAAUUAUUGGGCGUAAAGAGCUCGUAGGCGGUCUGUCACGUCUGCUGUGAAAACUCGGGGCUUAACCCCGGGCCUGCAGUGGGUACGGGCAGACUAGAGUGCGGUAGGGGAGACUGGAAUUCCUGGUGUAGCGGUGAAAUGCGCAGAUAUCAGGAGGAACACCGGUGGCGAAGGCGGGUCUCUGGGCCGUAACUGACGCUGAGGAGCGAAAGCGUGGGAGCGAACAGG
rnacentral:rRNA from 1 species